UCGGAGGCGCGGUGCUGCCCGCAGCUCUGCCCCACAGCACCCGGAGGAAAACCCAGCCCAGCUGGAGCAUCUGCCAGGGCCAGCCCCUACGUCUCCUACCCAGUUUUCCUGCUCGAACAACGGGCCGGAGGAGCUGUUAUCUGCUUAAUUAUUUCCUUCUUCACAAACUUCCUCACUAGGAAAGAAAUAGACUUUAACUAUCCUGGGUGAGGCUCUCAGAUGGCGUUUGUGAUCAGAACACAGCAUCCCUUCUGUGGACAGAUGGAUGCAUUUAGGGAACCCACACUGUCCUCAUCUCAGGGCACUGUGCCUAAAAUUGGAGGGUUCCUGCUGGAGUGCUGGCAUGGAAGUGUGCCAGUGGGGGCACAUCCCCAGCCAGCUGGACCCAGGACCUGUCCAGCCAUCCUGGCAAGAGCCUUUCUCAGAGCUGUUGGGGUU